ACCUCAAUGUACCUAUUUUAUUAGGAAGAAACUGUAUUCCCUAUUUUUCUAAUUUCGUCGGCUCGAGUCGAGAAGUAGACGAAUUGCAGCUGCCAGAAGCCGCGGACACGAGGCAGUCAUUAGAAACCUCACCAAAUUUGCAGUGGCAGCCUUUGGUCAAUGUGGCCACACGGUGAUGAACAGCAGCCAUGUGCUCCUCAGUGUCCCACUGCACCGAUACUACUCCUUCACGCAGCAGCCAACCAUGGUCUUCCAGGCGAGGGUACACAAUGCUUGACGUUGGUGCCUGCUUCCAAACUUUCAGUACCCAUUGCGAGCGCUUCCAGUGUAUGUCCGUGGCAAGCUUGUCGUGUGACAUUGCUGCGCAUCGCUGGGCGGAAAGAGCAUCAUGCAAGGCCUGUUGCGUGUUGCACCCUCUCCGUAGCAACAGGAUACCACGUUUUUUCACAUUCGGGUAUACAACUUCAAUGUGCUCUGCCAACACUUCCAUUA